CUUCCAUGUCUCACCCCCUUUUCCCUCUGAUGAAACCUCCCACGCCGCUCCUUCUCUUUCCCCCAUCCCCGCCAGUCCGCCACCACGCGCCAAUCCCGCCAUCGCCCGUCGAUCCGGCGCGCAGUUCCACCCUCAUCUCUCUCCCUGAUCUGGCAGCCCUCGGCCACGACGCUGCGAGCUCUGGCCGGCUUGACCUCGUCGGCUCGUCGCCCCCAUUCAAUAGGUGCUGGACGCCGCUCCUCGGGACCGCGGCGGUCUUCUUCAUGGGCUCUCUCUCCCUUCACCUCCUACGCCAUGUAUCGGCCCCUUCCUGAAGCUCCUCUUCAUCCGUGUGCCCCCCUGAUGUCGCCGAGUGGACCACGCCCACACCCGCCUCCGCCCGCCUGUACCAGGAUUUGCUCCUGUUGUUCAAGUUGAAUAGCGGGGAGAUGGAGGAGAUGGUGGCAUGAAGGGCUAGUGUGGUGGCCACAUCAGAUUCUGAAGGCGGCUUUGAAAGGGGGUGAGAUGAUGCUCGUCAAGACUAACUGAAAAGGAAUGGGAGACAAUACUGAAGAAUCGUGAUCUAUGGCAAGGGUGAUGAUGUCUAUGGCGAUGAUUGUUAUGAUCUAUUUGGCGACGAGCAUUAUGAUCCAUAUGGUGAUGAAGGGUGACGAGUCUAGUGAUCUUUCUUCAAGACGUUCAACAAAGUGAAAUCAUGGGGUUUUGGUCAAUCUAGCUUAUGCAUAAUGCUUGGACCAUUAUAUCUUAGUUUUUUUUUUGCAUUUUAAACUUUCUAGAUUGUUCAUCAUGAUCAAUGUAAUUCUGAUGCAACUCUUCUGAUAUUUUGAAAGUUGUGCUAUAUACAAUAUAUGUUACUUGGUCA